GAUGAACGCUGGCGGCGUGCCUAAUACAUGCAAGUCGAACGAAGGAUGUAGCAAUAUGUCCUUAGUGGCGAACGGGUGAGUAACGCGUUGGUGACCUGCCCCGAAGAGAGGGAUAACAGUCCGAAAGGAUUGCUAAUACCUCAUGUGAUCACUGGGAUUAGAAGCCCUAUGAUUAAAGAUGCAAAUCACUUCGGGAGGGACCUGCGUCCCAUCAGCUAGUUGGUGAGGUAAUGGCCCACCAAGGCGAUGACGGGUAGGGGACCUGAGAGGGUGACCCCCCACAAUGGAACUGAAACACGGUCCAUACACCUACGGGUGGCUG
rnacentral:rRNA from 1 species